rnacentral:rRNA from 1 species
UACAGAGGGUGCGAGCGUUAAUCGGAAUUACUGGGCGUAAAGCGUGCGUAGACGGUAGCGUAAGUCAGAUGUGAAAGCCCUGGGCUCAACCUGGGAACUGCAUUUGAGACUGCUCUGCUCGGGUGCGGAAGAGGGAAGCGGAAUUUCCGGUGUAGCGGUGAAAUGCGUAGAUAUCGGAAGGAACACCGGUGGCGAAGGCGGGUCUCUGGGCCAUUACUGACGCUGAGGAGCGAAAGCGUGGGGAGCGAACAGG